rnacentral:rRNA from 1 species
GACGAACGCUGGCGGCGUGCUUAACGCAUGCAAGUCGAACGGUAAGGCCCUUCGGGGUACACGAGUGGCGAACAGGUGAGUAACACGUGGGUGAUCUGCCCUGCACUUCGGGAUAAGCCUGGGAAACUGGGUCUAAUACCGGAUAGGACCACUGCCUGCAUGGGUGGUGGUGGAAAGCUUUUGCGGUGUGGGAUGGGCCCGCGGCCUAUCAGCUUGUUGGUGGGGUGAUGGCCUACCAAGGCGACGACGGGUAGCCGGCCUGAGAGGGUGACCGGCCACACUGGGACUGAGAUACGGCCCAGACUCCUACGGGAGGCAGCAGUGGGGAAUAUUGCACAAUGGGCGCAAGCCUGAUGCAGCGACGCCGCGUGAGGGAUGACGGCCUUCGGGUUGUAAACCUCUUUCAGCACCGACGAAGCGCAAGUGACGGUAGUAGCAGAAGAAGGACCGGCCAACUACGUGCCAGCAGCCGCGGUAA